rnacentral:rRNA from 1 species
AUGGUCUCUCAUAUCAUGUUAGUUUUGUGGGAGAUCUGGGAUGAGAGAAAUUAGCGUGUUUUGAAUGACAAAGCAUCAUCACAUAACAUUAUCCUAUCAAGAAUUCGAAAUGAGGCCGGGCAUUGGGUCACCGCGGGGGCUAAGCAUUUGGGUAUUUGUAUGCGAGGAGAGUAG